rnacentral:rRNA from 3 species
AAAUUGAAGAGUUUGAUCAUGGCUCAGAUUGAACGCUGGCGGCAGGCCUAACACAUGCAAGUCGAACGGUAACAGGAAGCAGCUUGCUGCUUUGCUGACGAGUGGCGGACGGGUGAGUAAUGUCUGGGAAACUGCCUGAUGGAGGGGGAUAACUACUGGAAACGGUGGCUAAUACCGCAUAACGUCGCAAGACCAAAGAGGGGGACCUUCGGGCCUCUUGCCAUCAGAUGUGCCCAGAUGGGAUUAGCUAGUUGGUGAGGUAACGGCUCACCAAGGCGACGAUCCCUAGCUGGUCUGAGAGGAUGACCAGCCACACUGGAACUGAGACACGGUCCAGACUCCUACGGGAGGCAGCAGUGGGGAAUAUUGCACAAUGGGCGCAAGCCUGAUGCAGCCAUGCCGCGUGUAUGAAGAAGGCCUUCGGGUUGUAAAGUACUUUCAGCGGGGAG